ACUAGUGGUGAAGCACUGCAGAGAGAAGUUUUGUCUCGGAGGAGUGGUUACUGUGUAACUCAAAUUGGCAAGCAAAGUGAGAUAAGCAUCCUCUGUAAUGUUGAACAACCCUGUUUUUUGAAAUGGUUCAGGCCCUCAUGGUUUGGUUGGUUAAGCACUCAAAAAAAGUAGAGGAUUUACUUCCUGUUGAAUUAUCCUUUUUUUCUUGUGGAAGUUUCUGACCCAUGAGCCAGCUGCUCACCCAUCACAUGAUGUGUUUAUCCAGCUGUGAGCUGGACAUCUUGUGCAGAAGGGUACUGUGAGAGACAGCAUUGAAAACUUUGGUGAAGUCCAGAAAGAUUAUAUCAACUGGCUUUCCUUGGUCAACUAGCCUUGGCUAUCCUGUGAGUUAGUGAACCAGAGAUGCAGUAACUCCCCAGAUGCCUGAUGAGCUUUAAUACCCUUGCCAGCAUUUUCACUCCAUUCUGUGUCAGCUGAAGAAUAAACUUGCCUUUCAAAUAUCCAUGAAGGCCUUAGCCAUGAGACCUGCAAGCACAACCACGAGAUAAAGUUAAUAUUUAUUCCACAAGUGAAAGGAGAACACAGUGCUGAUAAAGAGCUUAUUUUAAAGUAGAGUUGAUACAAAACACUGCUGCCUGUCAAUCACAUUAUAAAUUGGCAAACAUUUGUUUUAUUAAAAUGGGCACAAAACUAGCAAAAAAUAUUAUAACUAAAUAAUGCAGUUACGUGUCUUUCUGUAGCACAUUUCAUUAACUCCUGUCAAUUUAGCAUCACAUAAUAAGGGUGUUGGCAAUCCAGCACCUCUUCUGAGCUCUGCUAAGUACAGCAGUCUGCACUGUGGGUCUGAGGGAAGGAGUGUAUCCAGUGGGUGUGAUUAUUACUCUUUCUCACACCUAAAGGAAGUAGAAUAGUCAAGACAAGUUCUUUCUGCUACAUGUGAGCUGUUUCAUUAUCUGACAUGCAAUGAAAGUAUCUAAGAGAGAACAUAACUCAUCAAAGACUGGACCUUUCAGUGUAUCCUCUUCCUCUGUCCUCAUGGUUCAAAAGAAAUGCAUAUUUAUGAUUAUCAAUGAAGUGAUAAGAUUAGGGGGAUUAUGUGUUAAAAAGUGAACAUUUAGAUGGCUUCAUUUGGAUAUGUAAAGAUGUACAUGCUUCUGGUCAUUCAAAAUGGAAGCAAUUUAGCCAGUUCACAGUAACUUCCAGCACUGAAACACUCUGACAAGUGAAAGGACAAAAACACACUCCAAAAGAUAUAAGGGCAUAAAAAUGGUGGCUUGUUGCAGUGUAUAAAGACAGGACAGGCUCCUGUCCCUUUGACUGCUGAUGUUUGCUUCCUGCAUCUUUAAUAAUGAAUUGCCGUUUUAAAGUAGUGUGUAAGAACCACAUUGCACAGCAGCAAAGGAAGUAAAUGCUUGCAACUAAAUCUGUGAGGAGGCAGUUUAGUGCAAAAAGAUUUUGUGUAUGGAGCUCUAGUCAGUGCUUUACAGAUACAAUUCUUUUCCUAGUCUCCUGCUUUUUACUGGAUUUUUUUUCAAUGCAGUAUACUUAAGCCAGUUUAUUUUGAAAAAUACUUCUCUUGAACAUCCUCUGGAAAUGCAGCUGGAUCCACAGUCAGUGACACCUUUGCACUGUGUGCAGCUGCUCCUGCAGAAUCCUCCCCCGAAAAGACAAAGAGAAAACUCAGAAAAUGUGAUUGGUGAGUCAAUCAGGUGACUUAUUUUUAUAAUAGAAAACCUCAAAGCAAUGAGAUGCAGCAGACCAGAAGCAGCAGUGCUUGUGCCUAAUUCUUGAUUCGUGUGCCAUGCUCUUGCAGGGUGGC